rnacentral:rRNA from 1 species
UACGGAGGGUGCAAACGUUGCUCGGAAUUAUUGGGCGUAAAGCGCACGUAGGCGGUGUCGCAAGUCGGGUGUGAAAGCCCUCGGCUUAACCGAGGAAGCGCAUUCGAAACUACGAGACUGGAAUCCUGGAGAGGAUGGCGGAAUUCCCGGUGUAGAGGUGAAAUUGCGCAGAUAUCAGGAGGAACACCGGUGGCGAAGGCGGUCU